UACGUAGGGGGCAAGCGUUGUCCGGAAUCAUUGGGCGUAAAGAGCGUGUAGGCGGUCCGGUAAGUUCGGCUGUGAAAGUCCAGGGGCUCAACCCUGGGAUGCCGGUCGAUACUGCCGGACUAGAGUUCGGAAGAGGCGAGUGGAAUUCCCGGGUGUAGCGGUGAAAUGCGCAGAGUAUCGGGAGGAACACCUAUGGCGAAGGCAGCUCGCUGGGACGUUACUGACGCUGAGACGCGAAAGCGUGGGGAGCAAACAGG
rnacentral:rRNA from 1 species